UGACUACCGGGGUUUCUAAUCCUGUUCGCUCCCCACGCUUUCGCUCCUCAGCGUCAGUAUCGGCCCAGAGAUCCGCCUUCGCCACCGGUGUUCCUCCUGAUAUCUGCGCAUUUCACCGCUACACCAGGAAUUCCGAUCUCCCCUGCCGAACUCCAGCCUGCCCGUAUCGAAUGCAGACCCGGGGUUAAGCCCCGGGCUUUCACAUCCGACGUGACAAGCCGCCUACGAGCUCUUUACGCCCAAUAAUUCCGGACAACGCUCGCACCCUACGUAUUACCGCGGCGGCUGACAC
rnacentral:misc_RNA from 1 species